UUAUGUAUACGUGAAAGAAAAUGAGUCCUUCGCCAACAAGACGUAACAACUUUAAAGACUACUAUUGUCUAUACGGGAGAGAAAGAGUCCUUGGCCAACAAAACAUAACAACUUUAGAGAUUUCACUCGAUCAGAUCUGCCCGUCCUAUCCCACCACACAAGUUCUAUCUCUUCAUGAAAGCCAAGACCCCAUCGCUUCAAUCCAGAUUAAGAGCUCCGUUUUCUCUCAGUUGGUAUUAACCAGGUACAAAUUUCAUGCAGUUUUGUGAGGGUUCGUCGUCCAGCUAAUUGUGCCAAGAACGAUCGUCUCAAGUACUAUAGUUGCUGAGUUUGCUCGAUUAACACAUCAAUCUGGUGGUCUUUGUCUCUUUGACAACUUGUGCAGCAUAAGGCAUAUUAUCAAGCAUUUUUGUUAUAUCAAUUGUUAUCCAGUACUUUCAAUCUGUUGUCCAGUUUUUUGGUCUCUUUGUUGUCUUCUCCAUAAGGAAAUCUCGCACGUCCUUUUGAUAUAAAUUAUUAAAUUUAUUCAGAUUCACUCUUGCCAGUAUAUAUGCAUGGUUUUUGGGAUAAAAAAUCAACCAGUUAUCUAUGUUUGGGCGUUCACUGGACUAACUAGCAUCGAUCAGUCAACGCCUGCAGCAGCAUCUUGCGUACACAAGUCAAGACUAAAUGCCAAUGUCCCGCUGUAGGUACAUAAAGACACAUAGUUAGUAGUUUUAUGUUAGGCAAUUCCAGCCAUAUGGAGAUGCGUUAGCCUUCAUCACAGCUGUGCUGAGGUUGUUCAAGCCGUCCAUUUAUUUUCUCUUAUUGGCUCUCUUGAUUGCCACUGUACCCUUCAAUUGGGACUGCACCCAUAUGUGCUGCAAAUCCACGUCUUUCCAAUGUCUCCUUAAUUUCUCUCCGCCCCUUUCAGCAUGUAUGGAUGAUGGUGCACACAAAAGUGUUGCUUGCGCUAUGUCGUGGCCAAUGAUAAAUACACAACAUGGUGAGGAUCGAUGCUUGAUGAGAAAAUUGUGAUGUGAAUGACUGAACCAUGUUACAGUUCUCCCUAUAACCAAGCAAGUAAGCAACCAAAAGCAAUUUAUAUAGAAGGAAAAUCUACGGCACUAAUACCAAGCAAACAUGGAAAUAAAUUUCUCACGUACGUCCAUCAUCGAUAUUCUCCGUAAGGAAAUCUUACACGCCAUUUUGAUAUAAAAUUUUAAGUAUAUAUGCAUGGUUUGUUGGACAAAAUGUCAACCAGUGAGCUAUGGUUGGACGUUGUUGGAGUCACCAGUGUCGAUCAAUCAAAGCCUGCAGCUGCGUCGUGCGUAAACAAGUCAAGAUCAAGGCCAAUGUGUCCAACUGUAGGAAAUCAUAAUGGGAGUGACCAAACCCGUGUUACAGUUCUCGCUAUAACCAAGCAACCAAGAGCAAUUUAUAUAAAGGAAAAUCAGGGGCACUCAUCUCGACCCAACAUGGAAUUAAAUUUGUCACAUACUUCCAUCGUCGAUGUUGUACAUAUAUACUAUCUAUGCUCCCAAUUUAAAGUUUACUGUACAGAAAUAUGUGAUUCAAGUGCAUCUUAUACAAAUAGCUUCAUGUAUAAGGAUCUUUGCUAUGGUGUUCAACAUAAUCUCUAGAAAUUUUGGCAUUCCUGAAAUUCCAAAUGUGUUAAGUUUUGUUUGU